AAAAUUUGGGCUGCCCAUUCGUCUGUUUACGGUUUAGAGAGGGAAAAGCAAGAAGGAAGAGAAGAAACUAGGGCUGGGCUUAUAGCCAUUAGGGUUUAUCGAGAGAAAGGAGCGGGAGGCCAUAACUGAUUUUUAGAGAGAGAAAAAGAAGAUGGGAUGCUGAUUUGGGAUAGUUUAAAGAGGGUUUUUUUCUCUGAUUUGCGAUGUUGUUUGAGAGAAAGCCCUAACUAUACUGAUUCGUGAAGAGGCCCUAACGAGCGAGAAAAGGAAGAGGGUUUUUCAUUUUCUUGGGGAAACAGCAAGCAGAGGUGAAGGACUAGGUUUGGGGAACUAAUCCUAUAUGUACAAUUGCUUGCACAUUUGGACCAUAGUGUGGUUGGCAGCAUAAUAAUUGAUAAAAGACAAGUAUGAUGGAUGGAUGGUGUUGGAGAGAUGUGUGGCCAUUCAAGACAUGAAAGGAUCCAGAGGGUUUACACUACGGCAUUGGCGGUAUUGGAAAAUAGCGCAUAUCAAAUCUUGCAACAUUCUUUCUUUUGGGCUGAUUAGAAGCGAUUGCACUUGUAGAGCUCUACGGUCGACUUGAUGGAUCUGGUAAGAUGCCUUUGGAUCAUAAUCUCAGAAAAAGAUGCCUUUAGAUCAGAAUCCUAGAAAAGUACGAGACAAAAUAUGAAAAACAUAAGCUGAAACCUGAUUAUGAUUUCAAGUUGUCAUCCGAUCUCCUAAGUUUUAAAGAAAUUAUUUUCCAAUUGUUGUGCUGAAAUUUACAAACCAUUUGAAGAUAUAUUUCUUGAGCUCCUUAUGUAAAUACAUAGAUUUGCCCAUCAACAAACUAGAGCUCCUUAUGGAAAUGCAUAGAUUUGCCCAUCAACAAAGAUGCCCUGAGAAAGAUCAGUUUAAGAUAUUUUUGGGAAGGCCAUGACUCAGGUUGUGAAUUCCAGGUUGUGAAGGAUGUGGUUCUAACAAUAACCCAAGCAAUAGAGCCUGUGGAGAAAAGGAGUCAGCAAAAUACAAGAGACCUUCCAUCACAUCUUGGUAGGUUCAGGUGAUGAAGUACAGGUCGAUGAACAUGUGUUGGAGAAUGUGAUGCAAGACAGGUUCAAUGUUCUAAGUUCCAAAAAACUGGUAAGAGCUGAAUCUAGUAAGAAAUCUGGUCGUGGUCUUGAUUUAGAGAAGUCAUAACAGCUGAAAUAAGUGGUGCUCAUCUAUUUUGUAAUGCAAAAAAUAUGAUCUCAACCAUGCCUUGCUUGAAGCGAGCUUGGUCUCUCUCUGUUGUCUCUACUUAGUGGUCUCUCUCUCCAUCUCAAUAUCAACAGCUUCAUAGUCGCGAUCCUUGAGUAAAAGUGUCUUUUAUCUUUCUUUCUUUUUUAUGUUUUUUUGGAAAGAAAACCUCGAGUAAAUGGCUCUUUCUCAAAGCUAGAUUUGAGCAACAAUAGAAAGGACUUUUAAUAAAAUCCUGAGUAAAGAACUCUUUUGAACCAAGCUACAUUUGUGAAAAACAGAUUUACAAGGCCCUUCCUCGCACUUAUUUUCACACUUAUUUUAUGGAUGUCUAGUUUUGUAUACCUUGAUUUAGAUUCAAUAAGUUUAGUGUUUUGCUUGAU